AAACAAACAAUCACUCUUUGCAGUUUAGAAUCAAAUCUCCAGAACAAUUAACUAAACCCAGAAAAAACAUCAAACCAGACGAUGAUGAUUUAAGUUGUCGGAACCAUAUUCAACAACCAAAAACUGAUUAUCAAAGGAAAUAAACUAACCAGAAGGAAAGAGUCACAACGAAAUGAGAAAGUCACUCUCGUGAAGACAGAAAACAGAGACGAAGAUAAAUUUUCAUUUUCUUUCUGUGUUUUAGCACGCAAACUUCCGCUAAACGGCCCUGUUUUGGACCCAUGGCUUUCAGACGAGAGCCGUUCGAUUAGAUAUUAAGUACACGUGGCGUUAAACAAGAGAUCGAGUGGGAACUCUAUUUUCUCUUUCUUUUCUUUUUAUUACUGAUAAUAUCUUUUAUCGACAUUAUUUGGAGGGAAAUCUGGCUCUUCGCUAUACGCAUGGAAUGAUUUUAUAUUAGACUGUUUGAAAAAAAAUGGUUGAGCUUAUGAUUUUUUUAAUUAGUGUAUUAUUUAUGUUAUAUGAAGGUUUAUUGGACUUAAGUCCAAUAAAUAAUACCCUAAUUGAUUAUAAUACAUAAAUAAUACACAUUUGAA